UUUGGUUAAGUUAGAAAGGGCGCACGGUGGAUGCCUUGACACUAGGAGUCGAUGAAGGACGGGACUAACGCCGAUAUGCUUCGGGGAGCUGUAAGUAAGCUUUGAUCCGAAGAUUUCCGAAUGGGGAAACCCACCAUACGUAAUGGUAUGGUAUCCUUAUCUGAAUACAUAGGGUAAGGAAGACAGACCCAGGGAACUGAAACAUCUAAGUACCUGGAGGAAGAGAAAGCAAAUGCGAUUUCCUGAGUAGCGGCGAGCGAAACGGAACAUAGCCCAAACCAAGAGGCUUGCCUCUUGGGGUUGUAGGACAUUCUAUACGGAGUUACAAAGGAACGAGGUAGACGAAGCGAUCUGGAAAGGUCCGUCGUAGAGGGUAACAACCCCGUAGUCGAAACUUCGUUCUCUCUUGAAUGUAUCCUGAGUACGGCGGAACACGUGAAAUUCCGUCGGAAUCUGGGAGGACCAUCUCCCAAGGCUAAAUACUCCCUAGUGAUCGAUAGUGAACCAGUACCGUGAGGGAAAGGUGAAAAGCACCCCGGAAGGGGAGUGAAAGAGAUCCUGAAACCGUGUGCCUACAAAUAGUCAGAGCCCGUUAACGGGUGAUGGCGUGCCUUUUGUAGAAUGAACCGGCGAGUUACGAUCCCGUGCGAGGUUAAGCUGAAGAGGCGGAGCCGCAGCGAAAGCGAGUCUGAAUAGGGCGUUUAGUACGUGGUCGUAGACCCGAAACCAGGUGAUCUACCCAUGUCCAGGGUGAAGUUCAGGUAACACUGAAUGGAGGCCCGAACCCACGCACGUUGAAAAGUGCGGGGAUGAGGUGUGGGUAGCGGAGAAAUUCCAAUCGAACCUGGAGAUAGCUGGUUCUCCCCGAAAUAGCUUUAGGGCUAGCCUUAAGUGUAAGAGUCUUGGAGGUAGAGCACUGAUUGGACUAGGGGUCCUCAUCGGAUUACCGAAUUCAGUCAAACUCCGAAUGCCAAUGACUUAUCCUUAGGAGUCAGACUGCGAGUGAUAAGAUCCGUAGUCAAAAGGGAAACAGCCCAGACCGCCAGCUAAGGUCCCAAAGUGUGUAUUAAGUGGAAAAGGAUGUGGAGUUGCUUAGACAACUAGGAUGUUGGCUUAGAAGCAGCCACCAUUUAAAGAGUGCGUAAUAGCUCACUAGUCGAGUGACUCUGCGCCGAAAAUGUACCGGGGCUAAAUACACCACCGAAGCUGCGGAUUGAUACCAAUGGUAUCAGUGGUAGGGGAGCGUUCUAAGGACAGUGAAGUCAGACCGGAAGGACUGGUGGAGUGCUUAGAAGUGAGAAUGCCGGUAUGAGUAGCGAAAGACGGGUGAGAAUCCCGUCCACCGAAUGCCUAAGGUUUCCUGAGGAAGGCUCGUCCGCUCAGGGUUAGUCAGGACCUAAGCCGAGGCCGACAGGCGUAGGCGAUGGACAACAGGUUGAUAUUCCUGUACCACCUCUUUAUCGUUUGAGCAAUGGAGGGACGCAGAAGGAUAGAAGAAGCGUGCGAUUGGUUGUGCACGUCCAAGCAGUUAGGCUGAUAAGUAGGCAAAUCCGCUUAUCGUAAAGGCUGAGCUGUGAUGGGGAAGCUCCUUAUGGAGCGAAGUCUUUGAUUCCCCGCUGCCAAGAAAAGCUUCUAGCGAGAUAAAAGGUGCCUGUACCGCAAACCGACACAGGUAGGCGAGGAGAGAAUCCUAAGGUGUGCGAGAGAACUCUGGUUAAGGAACUCGGCAAAAUGACCCCGUAACUUCGGGAGAAGGGGUGCUUUCUUAACGGAAAGCCGCAGUGAAUAGGCCCAAGCGACUGUUUAGCAAAAACACAGCUCUCUGCGAAGCCGUAAGGCGAAGUAUAGGGGGUGACACCUGCCCGGUGCUGGAAGGUUAAGGAGAGGGGUUAGCGUAAGCGAAGCUCUGAACUGAAGCCCCAGUAAACGGCGGCCGUAACUAUAACGGUCCUAAGGUAGCGAAAUUCCUUGUCGGGUAAGUUCCGACCCGCACGAAAGGUGUAACGAUUUGGGCACUGUCUCAACCAGAGACUCGGUGAAAUUAUAGUACCUGUGAAGAUGCAGGUUACCCGCGACAGGACGGAAAGACCCCGUGGAGCUUUACUGUAGCCUGAUAUUGAAUUUUGGUACAGUUUGUACAGGAUAGGCGGGAGCCUUUGAAACCGGAGCGCUAGCUUCGGUGGAGGCGCUGGUGGGAUACCGCCCUGACUGUAUUGAAAUUCUAACCUACGGGUCUUAUCGACCCGGGAGACAGUGUCAGGUGGGCAGUUUGACUGGGGCGGUCGCCUCCUAAAGUGUAACGGAGGCGCCCAAAGGUUCCCUCAGAAUGGUUGGAAAUCAUUCGUAGAGUGCAAAGGCAUAAGGGAGCUUGACUGCGAGACCUACAAGUCGAGCAGGGACGAAAGUCGGGCUUAGUGAUCCGGUGGUUCCGCAUGGAAGGGCCAUCGCUCAACGGAUAAAAGCUACCCCGGGGAUAACAGGCUUAUCUCCCCCAAGAGUCCACAUCGACGGGGAGGUUUGGCACCUCGAUGUCGGCUCAUCGCAUCCUGGGGCUGUAGUCGGUCCCAAGGGUUGGGCUGUUCGCCCAUUAAAGCGGUACGCGAGCUGGGUUCAGAACGUCGUGAGACAGUUCGGUCCCUAUCCGUCGUGGGCGUAGGAAAUUUGAGAGGAGCUGUCCUUAGUACGAGAGGACCGGGAUGGACGCACCGCUGGUGUACCAGUUGUUCUGCCAAGGGCAUAGCUGGGUAGCUAUGUGCGGAAGGGAUAAGUGCUGAAAGCAUCUAAGCAUGAAGCCCCCCUCAAGAUGAGAUUUCCCAUAGCGUAAGCUAGUAAGAUCCCUGAAAGAUGAUCAGGUUGAUAGGUUCGAGGUGGAAGCAUGGUGACAUGUGGAGCUGACGAAUACUAAUAGAUCGAGGACUUAACCAUAUAA
rnacentral:rRNA from 1 species